rnacentral:rRNA from 1 species
UACGUAGGGGGCAAGCGUUGUCCGGAUUUACUGGGCGUAAAGAGCGUGUAGGCGGCCUGACAGGUCUGCUGUGAAAACCCGAGGCUCAACCUCGAGAUGUCGGCGGAAACCGUCUGGCUAGAGUCCGGAAGAGGAGAGUGGAAUUCCUGGUGUAGCGGUGAAAUGCGCAGAUAUCAGGAAGAACACCUAUGGCGAAGGCAGCUCUCUGGGACGGUACUGACGCUGAGACGCGAAAGCGUGGGGAGCGAACAGG